rnacentral:rRNA from 1 species
AACGAACGCUGGCGGCAUGCCUAACACAUGCAAGUCGAACGAGACCUUCGGGUCUAGUGGCGCACGGGUGCGUAACGCGUGGGAACCUGCCCUUAGGUUCGGAAUAACUCCCCGAAAGGGGUGCUAAUACCGGAUAAUGUCUUCGGACCAAAGAUUUAUCGCCUUUGGAUGGGCCCGCGUUGGAUUAGCUAGUUGGUAGGGUAAAAGCCUACCAAGGCGACGAUCCAUAGCUGGUCUGAGAGGAUGAUCAGCCACACUGGGACUGAGACACGGCCCAGACUCCUACGGGAGGCAGCAGUGGGGAAUAUUGGACAAUGGGCGAAAGCCUGAUCCAGCAAUGCCGCGUGAGUGAUGAAGGCCUCAGGGUUGUAAAGCUCUUUUACCCGGGAUGAUAAUGACAGUACCGGGAGAAUAAGCACCGGCUAACUCCGUG